UUGACCUCGAAUCAGGUAGGAAUACCCGCUGAACUUAAGCAUAUCAAUAAGCGGAGGAAAAGAAACCAACAGGGAUUGCCCCAGUAACGGCGAGUGAAGCGGCAACAGCUCAAAUUUGAAAUCUGGCUCUCGGGCCCGAGUUGUAAUUUGUAGAGGAUGCUUUUGGUGAGGUGCCUUCCGAGUUCCCUGGAACGGGACGCCAUAGAGGGUGAGAGCCCCGUCUGGUUGGACACCGAUCCUCUGUAAAGCUCCUUCGACGAGUCGAGUAGUUUGGGAAUGCUGCUCUAAAUGGGAGGUAUAUGUCUUCUAAAGCUAAAUACCGGCCAGAGACCGAUAGCGCACAAGUAGAGUGAUCGAAAGAUGAAAAGAACUUUGAAAAGAGAGUUAAACAGUACGUGAAAUUGUUGAAAGGGAAGCGCUUGUGACCAGACUUGGGCUUGGUUGAUCAUCCGGGGUUCUCCCCGGUGCACUCUUCCGGCUCAGGCCAGCAUCAGUUCGCCCUGGGGGAUAAAGGCUUCGGGAAUGUGGCUCUCUCCGGGGAGUGUUAUAGCCCGCUGCGUAAUA
rnacentral:rRNA from 2 species